UACGUAGGGUGCAAGCGUUGUCCGGAAUUAUUGGGCGUAAAGAGCUCGUAGGCGGUUUGUCGCGUCGGCUGUGGAAACCCGGGGCUCAACCCCGGGCCUGCAGUCGAUACGGGCAAACUAGAGUGUGGUAGGGGAGACUGGAAUUCCUGGUGUAGCGGUGAAAUGCGCAGAUAUCAGGAGGAACACCGGUGGCGAAGGCGGGUCUCUGGGCCAUAACUGACGCUGAGGAGCGAAAGCGUGGGGAGCGAACAGG
rnacentral:rRNA from 1 species